ensembl:snRNA U2 U2 spliceosomal RNA
ACUGCUUCUUGGCCUUUUAGCUAACAUCAAGUGUAGUAUCUAUUCUUACCAGUUUAAUAUGUGAUAUGUCCUAAAAAAAAUUAAAAAAUGACACAUAUUUUUGAAAUGAUAAUAUUUAAUGAAGUUCUAAGGUGAGUUCUCAAACUUGCUCUUAGGAUACUUAUU